UUAGAUUAUAACAAAAUAAUUAUAUAUAUGAACAUGGAAAGCCAAGGCAGGCAAGCAACCAAGGGGCACCAAGGAAACAUCCAAGCCAUGUGAAGUGGUGCAGCUUUUGUCGGGUCAACCACUUCCAACUCCGACCAACUUGUGGGGUUUGUUGUGUUCCAAUUCUUAAUUUGCCGUCUUUGAACAAAUCAAAAUCCCUAUAUGAGUGGCUAUGGAUUCUCCGGUUGGCCACUGCGCCUUUCUCUUCUGCAUGGCCUCUCUUUGUACGGAGUUACGGACCAUUUUCUCUUAGACCGUGAAACAUCUUUUAUCAUCACAGACACACCAUAUGCUGCUAUAGCUUAUACAUAUUUCCUAGUGACAGAACUGUGGGAAAAAAGAUGGAUUCCCUUAGUCACACCAUCCGCUGAUCUUAACACAGAU
rnacentral:lncRNA from 1 species